rnacentral:ncRNA from 1 species
UCAAAAGACACAAUGUGAUUUAUUCCCAUCACUCUGCAUGUCAAAGUGAAGAAAUUCAACCAAGCGUGCAUACACGGCAGGAGUAACUAUGACUCUCUUAAGGUAUCCAUAUGCCUCGUCAUCUAAUUAGUGACACACAUGAAUGGAUCAUUAACGAGAUUCCCCACUAUCCCUAGCUACUAUAUUCUAGAGAAACCACAUCCAAGGGAAUGGGCUUGGUAGAAUUAGCAGGGAAAGAAGACCCUGUUGAUCUUGACUCUAUUCCUAGCCCAUUCAUAGU